rnacentral:rRNA from 1 species
CCUACGGGAGGCAGCAGUGGGGGAUAUUGCACAAUGGGGGGAACCCUGAUGCAGCGACGCCGCGUGGGUGAAGGAGCGUUUCGGCGCGUAAAGCCCUAUCGGCAGGGAAGAAGAUGACGGUACCUGACCAAGAAGCCCCGGCUAACUACGUGCCAGCAGCCGCGGUAAUACGUAGGGGGCAAGCGUUAUCCGGAUAUACUGGGUGUAUAGGGGGCGCAGACGGGAAUGCAAGCCAGGAGUGAAAGCACGGGGCCCAACCCCGGGACUGCCCUUGGAACUGGAUGGCUGGAGUCCGGGAGGGGCAGGCGGAAGUCCUAGUGUAGCGGUGAAAUGCGUAGAUAUUAGGAGGAACACCGGUGGCGAAGGCGGCCUGCUGGACUGUGACUGACGUUGAGGCACGAAGGCCAGGGGAGCGAAAGGGAUUAGAUACCCUAGUAGUC